GCCGUGGCGUUGGCAGCUGUCGGAGGCGGCCUGGCCGGGCUGGGGCCGCUGUGCUGAUCGAGCCUUCCCGUCCGAGCGACGGGCGAGUCCCCCCGCAGAGCUGCCUCCCGCCGGGCCCCCCCGGUAGAGAUGGCCUCCUGCGUGGGUUCCCUGCGUGGGUUCCCUCCGGGAAACGCUGCGGUGGGAGCCCGAGCCCGCCCGGCUGAGGAAGCCACAGAAACAGGGCCAAAAUUACCUGCAGUGAAGUUCAUUCGCGUCCAUCAGAGAUGACGGUCAAGCCUGUACAAUUUUUCUUUGGUUAAAAGAUCAAGAUGACUUCAAAUGCUAAUUAAACAUAGUUUCAUCA